CUCCGCUCUCGCUUUACCUGGCUUUGUUUGUGGGAGUCGAGACUAACCGCUAGACAUGCCUUAAGUACUUCCGUAACAUGGUGAUGUCAUGAUGACAUGACAUACAGUAUAUAACAGAAAACAGGGAACAGCAUAGUAGUUCCCCUUUAAUUGCUUUUUGGACCAUGUGAAUUUCCCCUGGGCCCUGCCUGCUUGUGUUGGAGAGCAGUGAAAAUCAGGAGACAAGCCACACAAAUUGAACACAGGGCAAUAAUAAUCAGAAAACAUUUAUGAGCUCUCCUGUCUGAAAGCUGACAUGUUGAAGGGGAGACACGGCUGGAGUGCUCCGAAGAACACAGCCAGAAUGUCAGAUGGGCCCCUGGGAUAACUUAUUAAACUCAUUUGGCCCGUAGAUUUCCCGGUGCCAGUUGGGAGCGUUCCUAAAGCCUUCUGACUGAACUGCCUGUACAGUAAGUCACACUGGUGGGAACAUUGGUAAACAGAGUCUUUACAUGAAUUCCUCAUACUCCCUAUGCUCACCAACAUACGCAAAUAAUGACAAAUCUACGCUGCAUUAAUCAGCUGUGAGGAAAAAUGAUUGAGUUGUUCAUAUCUUCAAAAAAACUUAUUUUAUCUAGUUUAUAUGUUUCAGUGGGGACAAAGGGAAUAAGGACACACGUUGUGGCUUAAGAACGGCAAUCUCUCUAAACAUGGAGGACUUACUAAAUCGAUAUCCAAGCUUUGGCUGUUUGUCGUCAGAAAUUGAAAUCACCAUGAAAACCUAAAUGUCAGACAAUGAGCCGAUGCUUUACCGCGAGCCCGGAGGCAAACAUAUCAUGGUCUGUUAGAAGUCAAAGUAAAAGUCAGAGGUAAUGUCCAAUACAGUUUGCUUGCUUCAUGUUUUUGCCCUGACAAAAUAUAUAUAUAAUAAUAUUGCAUGAUUUUGCAGUGGGGGAGAGUUGCAUUGUUGUUCGCCCUGCAACCAUGCCAUUAAAUAUUUAUACUCCUUGCUUUGAACCCUUCUGCAAUGACUCUCACCUUUAUUUCUGACCCUUUGUCCCUAUCUCUCUCUUGAGAGCGUCUGUGGUUGAAAUGAUUGAUCAAACGAACCCAGUGGCAGCUUGGACUCACCGGAAAUAUCCCAAGAUGACAACCGCCACCAUGAGUGAUCCCAGAGAAAUGGAGUACCCCACUGUGUAGAUGAGAUACAGGCGGUGAAAAACAUCCUGUCGGGAGAUGAAAUUGAUAGAAUGUCAACAGGGCAGCAAAUGGAUGAAUAGAUACACAAAGACUGAGAGGACGACAGCCGAUCCUCCCCUUGACCGUAUUGAACGGAAAUCCUGCAGGUUCGGGUCAAAUAACUGCAGUUUUGUAAAGACAAAACUUUAGUUUUCUUCUCUUUUUGCAACCAUGAUAGGAAACAAUUCUGAAAUAUUGCAUAGCCAGUGCACUGUGCUGGCUGCACCCAUUAAAGGAGAAACCCCUUUAGGAGAAAAACAUA